rnacentral:lncRNA from 1 species
UCCGCUAUUUAUUCUGCCCUGGCCAAGGUCUUCUAAACUCGGUCUCAUAAAUCACAUAGGACUAACACCCCUAUCUACCAAGGGAGAUAGAUUCCAUCUGAGUGCGCACCCUAUUCCUACAAUGAACCUACUGCAGCCAACAUGCACCGCAAGGACCCGAAUGGCUAGGGACCAAGUGUAUGUACAGUCAAACUACAGUAACCUCAUUGUGAAUAGCCGAGGCACCGCAGGUCAAAGGACCAGUCACACUACUGCAACAUUGAGUAAGUCACUGACGAGUGAGUAGACAUCUAAGUGACUUCUCGCGUUGGUCAUGCUCGGUACCCUUGUUCUCUAACAACCACCUGCAUAUUCGCUUCAGUGUCCCCACACUGUCGACUCGAGACCCGUCUACCCAAAAG